GAUGAACGCUAGCGGCAGGCUUAAUACAUGCAAGACGAACGGUAAGUGUUGUAGCAAUAUAGCACGAGAGUGUCGUACGGGUGCGUAACACGUAUGCAACCUACCUUGUACAGGAGGAUAGCUCGGGGAAACUCGAAUUAACCCUCCAUAAUAUAUUUGAAUGGCAUCAUUUGAAUAUUAAAACCUUGGUGGUACAAGAUGGGCAUGCGUCUGGUUAGUUAGUUGGUAGGUAAUGGACUACCAAGACGAUGAUCAGUAGGGGACCUGAGAGGGU
rnacentral:rRNA from 1 species